CUUACGGUGCGAGAUGCUUGGCCACCGCCUUCCAUCCAUCCGCGCUGCCACCCCUUCGCCUUCUUCCUAGUCCUCCCCACCCCUCAGCAUCCCGACCGCGUUACCCACCCCUCAGCAUCCGAUGCUGCAUGAAGGAUUUCCCCCUCUUCUUGCGGGAUACGCGAAGAUAUUUAACGCUCUCACAAUAAUGGACUGCGUCGCUCGUUGUGAAUUAAAGCUCUGAUGACAUUUUAUUCAGCUUUCAAAUAUGAAUCAUGCAUCUGGUAUUCAAUCUGUGUCUGCUCGGUUGCAUAUUUAUUUCCGUGCUGUCUUCUAUUGCCACGACCUCAACGGGUUCCAGCUCUUUGCAGUAUGAAGAACUCAGGGAUCGGCACGAGUCUGACACUCCGCGAGCCACAGCAGCAGCGCCGGGCAAUUUCACAGGAAGAAAAACGGGAGAGCGCGAGAUCACGAUCACAUAUCCCUCGCGGCUCUUAUACUACCUGAACGAAGACUCGGAGAGCGCGUAUCAUGACCUGGACACUCGCACGCGGAAUCAGGCCGGUGAUGGACAGCAUGUCCACCUGGCCCAAGCAAGUUUCCAGCUGGAAGGUUUUGGCUCCACCUUUACACUGGACCUGACUCUGAACAAUGAUUUGUUGUCAUCAGACUAUAUGGAGAUCCACUAUGAGAAAGACAAGCCGGUUCUCUCUAGGGGCGGUGAACACUGCUACUACCACGGCCAGGUGAGAGGACAGGAGGACUCCCAUGUAGCUUUGUCCACCUGCGACGGGCUGCAUGGGAUGUUUGAUGAUGGUAAUUUCGUCUAUCUCAUCGAGCCUCUGAAACAGACUCACACCGUGGAAACAGAAGCACGGCCACACACUUUGCAGCGAACAUCAUCGCUGCGCAUGACCUCUGCCCCUGCUGAUUGGGCUGCUGAUGACCCAGUUGAGGAAACAGAAGAGGAGAAACAGAUUUUCGCUAGCAUGCCUUGGUUGAAGAGGAGAAGGAAAAGAGCCAUGCCAAGAAACAUUUUUGAAGAAAUGAAAUAUCUGGAAAUAAUGAUCGUCGCUGACCACAACACGUUUAAAAGGCAUAAGAGUAAGAAGCAUACCCGGAACUCGGCCAAAUCUGUGGUCAACCUGGUAGAUGCUAUUUUUAAGGAACAGCUGAAUACACGUGUGGUAUUGGUUGCCGUGGAGAUCUGGACGGACAGGGACAGGAUUCCACUCAGCGUGAAGCCGCUGGAAAUGUUGCGAGAUUUUUCAAAGUACAAACAGCAAAGCAUCAACAUCAAUGCUGAUGCAGUUCACUUGUUUACCAAUGUGACAUUUCAUUACGGUCGGAGCAGUGUUGCAUACAUCGGCGGCGUGUGUUCCAAAGGAAGAGGAGUUGGUGUCAAUGAGUUUGGCAGCACAUGGACAAUGGCUGGUUCGCUCUCUCAGAGUUUAGCCCAGAAUCUGGGUAUCCAAUGGGAUCCUGUGAUCAGGAGGAAGGAAUGCGGCUGUAUGGACUCAUGGGUGGGAUGUAUAAUGGAGGACACUGGAGUGCAACACCCACGCAGGUUUUCCAAAUGCAGCAUCAGUGACUACAGAAAUUACCUUUUAAGAGGGGGAGCGUCGUGUCUAUUUAACAAACCCAACAAGCUCUUUGAGGCUACAGAAUGUGGGAAUGGUUAUGUAGAAGUGGGAGAGGAGUGUGACUGUGGAGCCCGAGUGGAGUGCUAUAAAGACUGCUGUAAAAAAUGUUCUUUGUCCAAUGGUGCUCACUGCAGCGAUGGCCCCUGCUGCAAUGGCACUUGCCUGUUUUACCCGCGGGGAUACAGCUGCCGAUAUGCAGUGAAUGAUUGUGACAUAUCAGAGACUUGUUCAGGAGACUCAGGACAGUGCCCUCCUAAUCUUCAUAAACAAGAUGGCUACUCUUGUCAACUCAAUCAGGGCCGAUGUUACAGUGGUGAAUGUAAGACCCGGGACGGUCAGUGCAAAUACAUCUGGGGGACAAAGUCGGAAGGGUCAGAGAAGCACUGCUAUGAAAAGUUAAAUACAGAAGGGACCGAAAAAGGGAAUUGUGGAAAAGAUGGAGACAAAUGGAUAACCUGCAGCAAACACGAUGUGUUCUGUGGGUACCUACUGUGCAGUAAUAUUGGCAGAAGCCCAAGGAUUGGAACACUGAAAGGUGACAUCACUCCAACCACCUUUAACCAUCAGGGUAGACUGGUGGACUGCAGUGGUGGACAUGUUCUGUUAGAUGAUGAUACUGAUUUGGGGUAUGUAGAAGAUGGGACGCCGUGUGGGCCCUCUAUGAUGUGCCUUGAGCGGAAAUGUCUACCUAUCUCCUCCCUGAACCUCACAGCUUGUCCGUCUGGCCCAGGCGGCCGAGUCUGCUCUUCUCAUGGCGUGUGCAAUAAAGAAGCCACCUGCACCUGUGAUGCUACCUGGGCUGGAACUGACUGCAGCAUGCACGACCCCCCAAAAGAGCCACCUAUCAUCGAGGACCCGGGCCCUAAGGUGAGCGUGGCCACAAACAGGCUGAUAGGGGCAGUGGCAGGGACCAUUCUGGCCCUGGGGGUGAUUUUUGGAGGCACAGGGUGGGGAAUAGAGUCCUAGCGCCACCAACCUUAUCAUAGGCUCCAUCGCAGGGGCCAUCCUGAUGGCAGCCAUAGUGCUGGGGGGUACGGGAUGGGGAUUUAAGUAAGAGCUACACCGCAUGCUUCCUACUGCCUGCCAGCCUGGAACAGGCUAACUCACAUAAACACACACUUUUGAAUAAAAACAUGCAACACAUACAACUACGCACUCACAUGCACACACACACACAUUCACACAAGGGCCUGGGCUUCUGCUACAGACAACAGAUAUUGAAAUAGUAGUGAACUGAUGAAGAUUGUACCCGUUAAGCUGCAUGCUGUGCUUAGUAUUAUAUCAUGUUUAAAUAGUCAGUUUUGUUGUCAUUUUGUCAAAUUAAAACCAAGGUUGACUGUACAACUGUAUGUGGUUCGCACACAACAGCUCAGAAAGUUACUUGCCGAUGUUUGUAACCACUUAGCCAAUUGAGUAAUAGAGUCACGAAAAUAAUACCCAAGCCCAUCUUUGGUACACGUCCUGAAAAAGGCAUGGUUACGCAUUUGCUGAUACACUCUGUUGACUGUAGCAGAACCUCUUGCAGACCGGCCCAACGCUUGACAUGCAUGUGAGCAAAAUGGUUAAAUAGAUACUGAGCAAGAUGUGUAAUGACAGUUAUGAAAUUACAACAAUAUAAAAGAAAAGGUUGUUGUGUAGCCUGUUUUUGCUAACAAUUCAAACGUGUAAAAUAUCAAUAUGCUAUGAAUUGUACCAAGGUGGGAAUUGUUAGAGAAUGUUACCUUGUUUGCUCCAAGAAUCAAGCAAAUGCAGCUCAAGUUUUGCAAAAUGAUGUGUGUGCGACAGGGAACGUCAAAUAGGAGUGUAACUUUACAAUUUACAUUUGGUCUCAAAAUAUCUGUAGAUUACAGUUUUUAACAUAGAUUGCAAGAUUUUUCUAAAAUGUAGGUGAAAGUGGACAUGUAACAUAAUUUAUUGUUCACAAUGGCAUGUUUGUGGCCAGCAUAGACCCAUAUUCAUCCACUUAAGCUACUAGGAAGAAGUACUGGAGAGCUAGCCUUGAGACCUGGUGACCAUUCAUACUUUUAGAGGACCACAGCAUGCUUGUUUGCACAUAGCAUCUUGACUGAGCCCAUUUAGAGUUUGCAUGUGAACUGGCACAAAGCCAGAGCUAAACCGGAGUGCUAUCAGAGCAUCGCACAAAGGCUGGGCUCACCUCAUGUGAAGGGAGGGGUAUUUAUUUAUUUCCUUGGUUUGAGAAGGGGAUUCUGUUGGGGUGGGUUGUUGGGUUGGGAUGACCAGUUUUUGUUUAUCCGCUCUCCUCGCCGUGAUCUCUCUCUCAAUCCCCCCUCCGUUGUCUAAAAGGGUGAGAGUUUGAGCGGAGAGGGGUGGAGGUUGUGUCGUAGGCAGCCUUUGUGCCAUGGCUGGCUGCCACGCCCUCUUAUCUCCCGGAAGGCCCUGGGCCCCCCGAAAUCCUAGAACAGAGCAAGAGCCCUCACCCCCCACCCGGACUCGCCAGGCACCGCUGCCUUUACUGCCUGCUUCACAGAGACCUGAAAUGUCAAGAAAAGACGAUAUGACCCUAACGCCAGUGCCAUCUAAAGACUUUGAGAACUGCAUCCUUGCCUUGUGUGCCCCUUGGUUCUGUUAGAACCUGCUGGACUGUACCUUCUCCUGCUGCUAGCUCCGCCGCUGAAGGAGUUAGCGUUACUUGAAUCAAAUGAUGAAAGAAUGCAAGGGAAGACGAACGUUUGAACAUUUUCUAGUCAAAGUCACAUAGAACUGCUUCUUUAGAGUCGCCCGUGUCCCUUCGCCCUCUGACCUUGAGCAUCCAUGCUGAGCCACUAGCAACCCAAACAAAUGACUGAGUGGAUGGUUCCCGCUCAUCGGGGCAUGACUUCCUGUUUACACGCUGUGGUCUCCGGUUCUGAUCUCAGCAUGAGCAGCUUCAGCAGUGGACCUCGCAUGGCAGAGGAGGGACACCAAUGCAAGAAUACCGUUUCAGAGAAAAAAGACGGUUUCAGAACACAGGUCCCGUAGGUCACAGUUCCAGUAGGUGGGUGAGCACGUCCAUGUGUUUUGAGGGGCUGAAUGUGCUAGAAGAGGCACCCAUAUCUUCUUCUACAAACAUUUCAAGGCAUAAAUAAACAUUUUGUUUGUUUCUUUUGUUAUUUCCGCAUGUUAUAUUGCCGGCAUUUUUUGUAGAAUUAAUUCAACUAUUCAAUCGAGAUGAAAAAGGAUCCAAUUGGCCAGCAGCCUAUGAAGCUGCAUGAUAAAAUGACCUUUGAACUCCAGAGUCUUAUGUAUGCCUGAUGACGUCAAUUCCCCUUAAAUAAACUAUUAUUCUUCCGGCUGGGCCCUGUAGGACUGCCCUGACCUGAAUGCCGUUACUGGCCAAUCAGAAAGCUGCAUGAUGUAAUUGCACUGGGGGCAGAGCCCACACAGCCUGCCGCGCUUUUUAAGGUAUCUGCAUGUCAAAGGAAAAACAGUUAACAUUUACUUACUAUGCAAAGGGGAAACAUUGUACAAACCUUAAGGUUUGCUAAAGAAUUCUCAAAUGAGACUAAAAAUGAAUUUGAUCUCAAGUUAACAGAUUAUUAUUAUUAUUAGGCAGUCUUUUAUAUGCUCGGCCAUCUAUGUUUGACAUUAUAGUAAGCUUAUGAUUACUUCAAAUGAAUGUUUCUAUGAAAAUCUCAGCUUCUAAAAAUGAAAAUGUCAUUUGUCAUUUCCGUGGGACGGUAUAAUUCAGGCACUUGUGAAAUUAAUUGAUACUAUUCAUAGAAUGGGGCUAUUGACGUAGAGGGAGCUCUAAUUUUGGGCUGAAAUAAGAGCAGAGAGAAAAAGAGUGUUUUUCUAAACCAUCAUUGACUGACACUAUCAGGUUUCUGAACUCAUCUUCUUAACACUGUCCCCUUUGAAAACCAUCUCAUGUUCCCAUGGAAACAUUGCCAAAAAAUAAUAUAAUAAAGAACUUUACAAAAACGCUA